AAGCAUUCUGGAGAUGGACGGUGGUGAUGGCUGCACAAUAAUCUAAAUCAAUGCAGGACCUUCUGUGUAAGGCACCUAAGUAGCUGCAAAGCUACUUGGGAAAUGGAGGAAGGCAGAGGUCCAAUUACGCACACCCCACAGCAGGCACCACAGUCCAGCAGAGGCCAGCGCCGUGUUCUAACAGCUAAGCGUCGCAGGUCUAAAGGAUACAGGCUGCAGGACGUGUGUGUCUUCUCUACACCAGGUGCUCUCUGGGGCUGCUCACCCAGGGGGAGUGCCCAGGCGUAAGCCAAACUCUGUCCCAGCACGGGGAGGUGACCCACUGAGCAGACGGCUGGGCAGGACCAAGCCAAGGUGUGAGAGGAGGGAAGACUGGACCCAUGGGGGGAGGAUGGGAGUCAGGUACCUGCCCCAAGGACCAAGAGCCAGCCUUGGCUCGUUGUGGCCACCGCAGGCCCGGGAUAGGGUGUUGGCACCUGGGGCACUUGGGACACUGGGAGAUGAGACCAGAGUGGGUCUGCCCACAUCAUCUCCCACGAGCGGGCAGCUCCUGGCCAGCAGAGACCUGGGUAGGAGGGCUGGACAGUGGGCUUGGUGCCCUUUGUCCUGCAGGCCUCUGCACAGGCGUUUUCUCACUACCCACAAGAAAGACUGCUGCUCAGAGAGGCUCUGGAAAACAGCUUAGCUGUGCUUCUCUCUGCAGGAGGUGGCGUGCAGCCAUAGUACUGCCUCUUUCUCUGAGGGCCCCUCUAGGAAGCACAUCUAUCCUGAAGGUCGGGCCGUGGAGUAGGGUGACCCAAGGAGACAGCCGAGGGGAAGUGAGGUUAGGGCUAGAGCUGGGAUUUGAGUCCAGGUCCUCUGGGGGAGCAGGCAGGGCGGGGCCAGAGCCAGCCUGUGCCAGCUGGUUUCCUCCACAGGCGGGUAGCCCUGGUGUCUGCAGGAGGCUCAGAGAAGGAAACAAGUGUGUUCUUUUUUUUUUAAAAAAUAAAUUUAUUUAUUUAUUUUUGGC